GAUCACAUUUAGGAUAGAUAGCCGUACUAUAAAGAGGGGAAUUCUUUGGCUAAGCGGUUAUCAAGUGCCACUAGGUGUCAUUGUUCAUGUGCAUGCAUUUAGAACCUAGUGAGCUAACUUAACUCCUUUGAAGAAAAUGAUUGUGAAAAUGCUAACACACGUGCACAUAUUGGUUUACACAUUGUGGUGUUGGCACACUUUGAGAAGGAGGUGGAGUUUGAAGGG
rnacentral:lncRNA from 1 species